CGAUGACCCUAUUCGGUGGGGAUUAGUGGCGAACGGGUGAGUAACACGUGGGCAAUCUGCCCUUCACUCUGGGACAAGCCCUGGAAACGGGGUCUAAUACCGGAUAACACUCUCGCAGGCAUCUGUGAGGGUUAACAGCUCCGGCGGUGAAGGAUGAGCCCGCGGCCUAUCACCUUGUUGGUGAGGUAAUGGCUCACCAAGGCGACGACAGGUAGCCGGCCUGAUAGGGCGACCGGCCACACUGGGACUGAGACACGGCCCAGACUCCUACGGGAGGGAGCAGUGGGGAAUAUUGCACACUGGGCGAAAGCCUGAUGCAGCGACGCCGCGUGAGGGAUGACCGCCUUCGGGUUGUAAACCUCUUUCAGCAGGGAAGAAGCGAAAGUGACGGUACCUGCAGAAGAAGCGCCGGCUAACUACGUGCCAGCAGCCGCGGUAAUACGUAGGGCGCAAGCGUUGUCCGGAAUUAUUGGGCGUAAAGAGCUCGUAUGCGGCUUGUCACGUCGAUUGUGAAAGCCCGAGGCUUAACCUCGGGUCUGCAGUCGAUACGGGCUAGCUAAAGUGUGGUAUGGGAGAUCGGAAUUCCUGGUGUAGCGGUGAAAUGCGCAGAUAUCAGGA
rnacentral:rRNA from 1 species